GACGAACGCUGGCGGCGUGCUUAACACAUGCAAGUCGAACGGAAAGGCCCUGCUUUUGUGGGGUGCUCGAGUGGCGAACGGGUGAGUAACACGUGAGUAACCUGCCCUUGACUUUGGGAUAACUUCAGGAAACUGGGGCUAAUACCGGAUAGGAGCUCCUGCUGCAUGGUGGGGGUUGGAAAGUUUCGGCGGUUGGGGAUGGACUCGCGGCUUAUCAGCUUGUUGGUGGGGUAGUGGCUUACCAAGGCUUUGACGGGUAGCCGGCCUGAGAGGGUGACCGGCCACAUUGGGACUGGGAAACGGCCCAGACUCCUACGGGAGGCAGCAGUGGGGAAUAUUGCACGAUGGGCGGAAGCCUGAUGCAGCAACGCCGCGUGCGGGAUGACGGCCUUCGGGUUGUAAACCGCUUUCGCCUGUGACGAAGCGUGAGUGACGGUAAUGGGUAAAGAAGCACCGGCUAACUACGUG
rnacentral:rRNA from 1 species